AAUAGAUACCCUGGUAGUCCACGCCGUAAACGAUGAGUGCUAAGUGUUAGAGGGUUUCCGCCCUUUAGUGCUGCAGCUAACGCAUUAAGCACUCCGCCUGGGGAGUACGGUCGCAAGACUGAAACUCAAAGGAAUUGACGGGGGGCCCGCACAAGCGGUGGAGCAUGUGGUUUAAUUCGAAGCAACGCGAAGAACCUUACCAGGUCUUGACAUCCCACUGACCGGUAUAGAGAUAUACCUUUCCCUUCGGGGACAGUGGUGACAGGUGGUGCAUGGUUGUCGUCAGCUCGUGUCGUGAGAUGUUGGGUUAAGUCCCGCAACGAGCGCAACCCUUGAUCUUAGUUGCCAGCAUUUAGUUGGGCACUCUAAGGUGACUGCCGGUGACAAACCGGAGGAAGGUGGGGAUGACGUCAAAUCAUCAUGCCCCUUAUGACCUGGGCUACACACGUGCUACAAUGGAUGGUACAAAGGGCUGCAAGACUGCGAAGUCAAGCCAAUCCCAUAAAAACCAUUCUCAGUUCGGAUUGCAGG
rnacentral:rRNA from 1 species